rnacentral:rRNA from 1 species
CCUACGGGUGACAGCAGUGGGGGAUAUUGGACAAUGGGGGGAACCCUGAUCCAGCGACGCCGCGUGAGUGAAGAAGUAUUUCGGUAUGUAAAGCUCUGUCAGCAGGGAAGAAAGAAAUGACGGUACCUGACCAAGAAGCCCCGGCUAACUACGUGCCAGCAGCCGCGGUAAUACGUAGGGGGCAAGCGUUAUCCGGAAUUACUGGGUGUAAGGGGAGCGUAGACGGUUAAGUAAGUCUGGAGUGAAAGGCCGGGGCCCAACCCCGGGACUGCUCUGGAAACUAUUGAACUUGAGUGCAGGGGAGGUAAGCGGAAUUCCUAGUGUAGCGGUGAAAUGCGUAGAUAUUAGGAGGAACACCAGUGGCGAAGGCGGCUUACUGGACUGUAACUGACGUUGAGGCUCGAAAGCGUGGGGAGCAAACAGGAUUAGAUACCCCAGUAGUC